AGAGGUUAUGUAAUGGUUAAUGAACAAGUAAUUCUAUUAUAAUAAGUGUUGGUUAACUAAUAAUGAGUAGUUGGGAAGUAUGGACUAGAUAGAUAUUCUAUGGUGAUGUGUCUAUGCUUAUUUGUAUUUUAGUUUAUCUUAUUUGUUUAUGCUAAUUGUGAUGAUGUUAAUACCUGAAAAGGCAGAAGGAUACUAUUGUGAUGAUAUUGAUACCCGGGAAGGCCGAAAUAUAUUAUUGUGAUGAUAUUGAUACCCAAAAAGGCUAGAGCAUACUAUUGUGACGAUGUUGUUACCCGAUAAGGAUGAAGGAUAUAUUGAUGAUAUGUUACUAGCCGAUAAGGUCGAAGGAUGUAUUGAUUAUAUGUUGAUGCCUGACAAGGACGAAGGAUAAAUUUAUGAUAUAUUCAUACCUAGCAAAGACGGAGGAUAUACUGAUGAUAUGUUGAUACCCG
rnacentral:lncRNA from 1 species